GAUGAACGCUGGCGGCGUGCCUAAUACAUGCAAGUCGAGCGAACGGACGAGAAGCUUGCUUCUCUGAUGUUAGCGGCGGACGGGUGAGUAACACGUGGAUAACCUACCUAUAAGACUGGGAUAACUUCGGGAAACCGGAGCUAAUACCGGAUAAUAUUUUGAACCGCAUGGUUCAAAAGUGAAAGACGGUCUUGCUGUCACUUAUAGAUGGAUCCGCGCUGCAUUAGCUAGUUGGUAAGGUAACGGCUUACCGAGGCAACGAUGCAUAGCCGACCUGAGAGGGUGAUCGGCCACACUGGAACUGAGACACGGUCAAGACUCCUACGGGAGGCAACAGUAGGGAAUCUUCCGCAAUGGGCGAAAGCCUGACGGAGCAACGCCGCGUGAGUGAUGAAGGUCUUCGGAUCGUAAAACUCUGUUAUUAGGGAAGAACAUAUGUGUAAGUAACUGUGCACAUCUUGACGGUACCUAAUCAGAAAGCCACGGCUAACUACGUG
rnacentral:rRNA from 1 species